rnacentral:piRNA from 2 species
UACUAUGUGUAAGCAUUGUAGCUAAAGAUA